rnacentral:rRNA from 1 species
UUGAAUCUGGGGUCCCCGACCUCCGAGUUGUAAUUUGGAGAGGCAUCUUCGGGGGGGAGCGCCGGCCCAUGUUCCUUGGAACAGGACGUCGCAGAGGGUGAGAAUCCCGUGCCAGGCCGGCUGCCUCCUCCCGGGUGAAGGGCCUUCGACGAGUCGAGUUGUUUGGGAAUGCAGCUCCAAGUGGGUGGUAAAUUUCAUCUAAAGCUAAAUACCGGCGGGAGACCGAUAGCGCACAAGUAGAGUGAUCGAAAGAUGAAAAGCACUUUGAAAAUAGAGUCAAAAAGUACGUGAAAUUGUUGAAAGGGAAGCGCUUGAGACCAGACUCAGGCCCUGGCAAACAUCGCGCCCCUCGGGGCCGUGCAAUUGCCCGGGCCUGGGCCAGCAUCAGUUGGCGUGGCGGGACAAAGGCGCGGGGAAUGUGGCUCCCCUCGGGGAGUGUUAUUAGGCCCGUGCUGGAUGCCGCCGACGCCGACUGAGGACCGCGCCUCGGCUAGGAUGCUGGCUUAAUGGCCUUCAGCGACCCGUCUUGAAACACGGACCAAGGAGUCUAACAUCUAUGCGAGUGUUUGGGCGCCAAACCCUUGCGCGGAAUGAAAGUGAGCGGAGGUGGGAACCCCCCUGCGGGGCGCACCAUCGACCGAUCCUGAUGUCUUCGGAUGGAUUUGAGUAGGA